UGUGUGUGUGUGUGUGUGUGUAGAGAAGGAAAGAAAGAACGAGAGUAUUCAGAGGAUUAGAGAAGGGAGGGCUACUAACUGGCCCAUAAUUCCGACAAUGGCGAGACAAAGGGGCCCAUCGGCCGGUACUAGCCGUUGAAAGCCUGUCCGUUUCCCCCAGUCUCUAUUCCAAGUCUUGACCCCCCACCGGUCAGUCUUCCUUCCUUGGGUCUUCAUGACUUGAUGCCCCUCCCUGAUGAUGUUAUCACUUACAUUAAUUAGCUAGUCA
rnacentral:lncRNA from 1 species